GUCUGUUUUCUUGCAAAACAACAAUACAAGCUUGGCAUUUCAACACAUUUUAAAUCCGUUUUGAAUCCUCAGGCUCAGCUCCUAGUACAUAGUUCUGCUGCCCAGCUCAUUUAAAACACAUUUUGUAGGUUUCUGAGCUUUGGCAUCCUGCCGUAGAGCCCAGGUCCUCUGUGUCACCUGCUGUAGGGCAGCUCUUAACACUGCAGCAUCUGUGCACAGUGGCCUCCUGCCUUCCAGCCCCACAGGCCUGCGGGCUGACGGAUCCUGUGUGUGUUAAUGAUGAGGCCGGCACCGCAGCUACAGCUGGAGGACUGUAAGGGGGAUAUGAGAGGUCUUAGCUGGGGUCAGUCCAGCACAGGUGACCAUUGUCACAGCCAGCAGCACACAGACUUUCCUUCAAAGGCCCCAAGACCUCUCUUGACCCAAGCGUGGCCCCCAGGGGUGCGAUCACGGCAGCAUUUCAAUCAGCAAAGCAUGCAGAAGUCUGAAGGACAGUGGAGUGUGUUUGUGUGUGGGAUGACAUAUCUGAACUGGCAGACAUAUUUACAGACUGCGACAAUGAAGCUGUGCCUUUGCUGCGAUGAUAACUAGAAGUCAUAUUAUAUUUUUACCAUAUAAACAUUCACUGGCACUGAAAGCAGCAGCCUGUCUAGGAGUGAACAAGUCAUUUAUAACCUUUUGCCUUUAGACAGAACGCAAGCGAAGGCUGUCCGUGUUUCCCCACUCUCACUGUUCUUAUCUCCGUCUCUUUUUAAUUAUUUCAAAGAAUUAGGCUGGACAGACUUCAUUUAAAACUUUGCUUCAAUUUAAGUAGAUUUGGGUUUUACUGAUGCAGACUUUACAGUCUGGCAAAGUGCUUUGAGACAAAGUACUUCUUUCAUUUUCUUAGUGUCUUUUUAUCUAAAAAUACUGGGAAUGACUCAUGGGCCACAAUUAAUAAUUUAUUUGCAGAUACUUUUUCAAAUUUCCAGAUGAAAGUAGGUGGAAUGAAAAGUUGUUGAUCCAUUUGUAAACCAUUAAAUAUUUAUCUGGACUUUAUCCUUAUGAUAAUAGCUAUUAUUGGAUGCCCUGCCUGCUUUUAAUGGAAUAGUUCACCCAAAAAUGGAAGUUUGCUGGAA